AUAUAUAUAUAUAACUGAAGAAAAACAUACAAAAAUAUAUA
rnacentral:sRNA from 1 species